rnacentral:rRNA from 1 species
UACGAAGGGGGCUAGCGUUGCUCGGAAUCAUUGGGCGUAAAGGGUGCGUAGGCGGGUCUUUAAGUCAGGGGUGAAAUCCUGGAGCUCAACUCCAGAACUGCCUUUGAUACUGAAGAUCUUGAGUUCGGGAGAGGUGAGUGGAACUGCGAGUGUAGAGGUGAAAUUCGUAGAUAUUCGCAAGAACACCAGUGGCGAAGGCGGCUCACUGGCCCGAUACUGACGCUGAGGCACGAAAGCGUGGGGAACAAACAGGAUUAGAUACCCUGGUAGUCCACGCCGUAAACGAUGAAUGCCAGCCGUUAGUGGGUUUACUCACUAGUGGCGCAGCUAACGCUUUAAGCAUUCAGCCUGGGGAGUACGGUCGCAAGAUUAAAACUCAAA